UACGUAGGGCGCAAGCGUUAUCCGGAAUUAUUGGGCGUAAAGAGCUCGUAGGCGGCUUGUUAAGUCAGGGGUGAAAUCCUGGAGCUCAACUCCAGAACUGCCUUUGAUACUGGCGAGCUUGAGUCCGGGAGAGGUGAGUGGAACUGCGAGUGUAGAGGUGAAAUUCGUAGAUAUUCGCAAGAACACCAGUGGCGAAGGCGGCUCACUGGCCCGGUACUGACGCUGAGGUGCGAAAGCGUGGGGAGCAAACAGG
rnacentral:rRNA from 1 species